rnacentral:ribozyme from 1 species
UGCCCAGCAACUCCUAUCCCUACCUCCGCGUGGUACCGGCUGGGCUGUGAGAGCAACCUUAGGGAAGA